CGGAUUAAUACCGCAUACGCUCUGCGGAGGAAAGCGGGGGAUCGCAAGACCUCGCGCUCAAGGGGCGGCCGAUGGCAGAUUAGGUAGUUGGUGGGGUAAAGGCCUACCAAGCCGACGAUCUGUAGCUGGUCUGAGAGGACGACCAGCCACACUGGGACUGAGACACGGCCCAGACUCCUACGGGAGGCAGCAGUGGGGAAUUUUGGACAAUGGGGGCAACCCUGAUCCAGCAAUGCCGCGUGUGUGAAGAAGGCCUUCGGGUUGUAAAGCACUUUUGUCCGGGAAGAAAUCCCCUGGGUCAAUACCCCGGGGGGAUGACGGUACUGGAAGAAUAAGCACCGGCUAACUACGUGCCAGCAGCCGCGGUAAUACGUAGGGUGCGAGCGUUAAUCGGAAUUACUGGGCGUAAAGCGUGCGCAGGCGGUGCUGUAAGACCGAUGUGAAAUCCCCGGGCUUAACCUGGGAACUGCAUUGGUGACUGCAGCGCUGGAGUAUGGCAGAGGGGGGUGGAAUUCCACGUGUAGCAGUGAAAUGCGUAGAGAUGUGGAGGAACACCGAUG
rnacentral:rRNA from 1 species